AAUUUUGGACAAUGGGGGAAACCUUGAUCCAGCCAUCCCGCGUGUGCGAUGAAGGCCUUCGGGUUGUAAAGCACUUUUGUCAGGGAGGCAAUCGUACAGGCUAAUAUCUUGUGCGGAUGACGGUACCUGAAGAAGAACCACCGGCUAACUCAGUGCCAGCCGCCGCGGUAAUACGUAGGGUGCAAGCGUUAAUCGGAAUUACUGGGCGUAAAGGGUGCGCAGGCGGUUUAUCAAGAAAGGUGUGAAAUCCCCGGGCUUAACCUGGGAAUGGCACUUUUAACUGAUAGGCUAGAGUAUGUCAGAGGGGGGUAGAAUUCCACGUGUAGCAGUGAAAUGCGUAGAGAUGUGGAGGAAUACCGAUGGCGAAGGCAGCCCCCUGGGAUAAUACUGACGCUCAUGCACGAAAGCGUGGGGAGCAAACA
rnacentral:rRNA from 1 species